GCCAUGGGAGUGAUGGCGGCUAACUGCUUAGCAGACGGAGAAAAUAAGGAGAAAAACCCGAAUUAAGCCGUGGAAAGAGGAAAAGAAAGCCAGCGCCCUUACCCGCUGGAAGUCUGGAGCCAAGUGACUUCACUAAGGAGAGGAGUCACGUCGGUAAGACGAGUUGUUUAUCUGGAGAAAAAAAAAAAGUUUAUUAGCACUUAACCUUUUGUCGUCCAUGCUAAUGCUAGCUCCCGAUCUAACAGGCUAACCACUUACCUCCACGAGGAGAGCCGCUGCAGCUCCGACAUCGGCGGGCUCGGCUUUGAAAUACAGAGCAACAGGUGAGAAACAUGUCGCUUAAGCUGCUCUGAUGCUAUAUCUGUUAUUUCUCAAAGUACUGAAAGAGAGCAGUGGUGAUAUAAAAGAAUAUGAGAGUGAACUAAAGUGAAUAAUGGAGCAAUAUUUUGAACGUGUGUGUAUUGUGUCUAUUGUUUUAUGUUGAGGUAUGAAUGUAAAAUGGAGGUUUUGUUCAUUUUCCCAGUGCCAAUUUAAAGGGAAAACAGUCAUUUGAUAAUUCAUAUGAUGAGUGUAAAAUAAAAUCUUAUUUUAUGAUGUGCAAACUACUGAAAGAAUUUAUCUUACUUAGAGAAAUUUUUUGGUGCAGUUUCUCUAGCAUUACACAGCCUUUAGUGUUGGAGUAAUUAAAGGGAUAAUCCGGUGUAAAAUUAUUUUAGGAUUAAACACACUGUAACACAGAGUUAGACACCCUGUCAAGAGAUGAAUGUUGCUGACUGCUUGCUUCUCUAAUACCAACUUUAGUAACAACUGCAUGAUAGCAAUACAAAGAGCCACACGCUUAACCUAAAAGCCACUCUAUAGCCACAAAUAAUGCUCAGAACAGCACCGAACUUCAUCAACAGUACAAAUAGAGUCCUAGCCAUAGCACUAGCCACCGAAUAUCUUUUUAAUUUUAAAUUUUAAAUUUUAAUUUCUUUAGCAAAGAGACUAAACAGAACUCACCUACUCUUUUCUAGCAGUUGCUGGUUUGUAGUGAGACCUCAGGCCAGACCAUUAUGGUCUGCUGCAGGGUGACGCAGCUUAGGGAAGAACAUUUAUGAUCAUUACUGUAUCAUUUCCUUUAAGUAAUAAUCAUCAUGUUAAUCAUUUUGCACUGCAGACACGGUAGUUCUUCUGCCUUCACAUCUCAGUCUGAUUGCAUUUUCAUGAAGAAGUGAUCAUAACUGCUCCUCAGACUGCUGUGUAUCGCUGUUCUGUGGUCAUUGCUUAAGUUGGUAUAAAUAGAGAAGCAAGCGGUCAAUAACAUUCAUCUCUUGAGGGAGUGUCUACCUUGGUGUUAUGGUGUGUUUGACCCUAAAUUAAUUUUACACCAGAAUAUCCCUUUAAGCAUGCUUCUUUGAUACCUCUAAGACAAGUUAAGUAUGUGUAUUUUCUAUGUAAUUUGCACAUUAUUUUGAUUUGGUUAUGUUAUAGAUGUUUUGAAUGUAAAUGGUUCCUUACUGUAAAUAUUAUUGAUGUACAGUUCACAUGAAAAGAUAAAUAUGUGAGCACUUAAACAUUUAGUUCUCAUAUUUGAUACACUUCAACAUUGAAUGUUGUACAACUAAUAACUGAAGCUUCAUAAUUUGGUAAUAUUAAUGAUCAACAUAUGAGGUUUGAUGCAACAUAUUGAUUUUUGACAUUUAAACCUUCAAUGAUGCAUCUGAGAAUAAAAUGUAAAUUAUAUGACCUUGUGUGUAGGUCAGGUUCUUUGUGGGGACGAGGAAAAUCCGAGGACCAGGACAAGGUUCCAGUUGUGACAGAUGGUGAGCUAACCACCUUGAGGAGGACUCAUCAUAAAGUAGAUACACACUCACACACAUACAUUCACACUACAUUCCAUGGACCUUUAAAAUCAGGUGCACCUGCAACGACUUUUAUUUUAUAAGGGCCCCAACAGACACUAUUAUUUUUAAGUGUGCAGACUGUAUCCUUUUAUUUCUGGUUAUUUGGGUCAUUCAUGUAUGUUUUGUACAAGUUUAACAUUUUCCUUAUUCACUGUAAAAUUACAAGAGUGGCUACUCAACAGUUAGUCUAGUACCUGACUUAUUGUUGCUGCUCAACACAUUGAUUCAUUACGAAUUGGGUGUCUUCUGAUUCAGGCCAGUGUCUAGUUAUUAAUCCAAGUUGUUAUUAUACUGUAAUUCAAUUUUAUAUCACUAAAAGUGGUUACACAUGCUGACCAAUGCAGACCCAAGUACUAACUGAAUUGAAGUUCACUUGUAUCCACGCCUGCCUGACCCAGGUAGACCAAAUGAGUCUCAAUUAGAUGCCUUGAAAGAGGGCUGAGUGCAGCCCAAGGACCCAUGGAAAAAUCUUAAGGUUGCACCUAUUCCUGGCCUAUGCAUAUUCCUGGGUUGCUCAACAUCUACCCCCCAAUAGCCCACUUUCAGUCUAUGCCCAGGUAGAGCCCCAUUUGAGUUGAUUAGAGUUUGAUGUCAGGAGAAAAAGACAUACAUCAGAUCUCAUGCACUUACAAACUUCUGUUGUGUUGUAAAAAAAGACUUUUUGAAGCGGUUGUACUUCUGAACUUGAACUGAAAUAUUUCUAUAGCUGUGUUCAGGUCCUAUAGCUGCCUCUGUUUCACAUUCAACUUGUCUCCAUUUAAUCUGCUCCCCUGAUAUGAAACUCCUGCCCUUUGUUCAAAAACAGCUCUCUACCCCAGUCAUCAAGCAGAAUGACAGGCUAUUUGAGGCUUCUAUUGUGCCCAGCUGGCUGUGCCACACAUUUACUCCGAGAGCUGAUAGCACUUUCCAUUUGCUAAUGAUUAGUUUGUGCCCCAGUAUGAGGGCUGUUUGUACCCACUCUGCUCUGGAGAAUCACAUUUUAUCAAGGAGGGAAGGGUCAUAAGAACGGCAGAGAGAGGCUCUAAGUAUCCUAUUGCCUAUUCAAUAGUUUUGUGUACUUCUAUCUAAGAGUCCCAUGCUUUGGAAUAGCUCUUGUGGCGGUAGCAUUGUGGCCCCUUUUCUGGCCCCCUUUGUCAGCCCUGAUUCACAGAGUUUGGUGAAUGUGAAUUACUCUACAGCUACAGCGGACAAGGUUGUUAUCUACAUGCCGAUUUUGAGAAGGUGCUGUUAUUCUGUGUGUAGAAAUUUUGGAAGGAAUUGUGGCUAAAGGGACACAGCGACUCCACCUCUACCUCAUGCCAGGUUGAUUGAAAAGUAGGUGUACUUUUCCAACAUAGCGACCACAAUUGAGAGGCUUCAAAGCUCUUCUUCAGAAACAAAUGGGUGACGUCAGAGAGACCCGUCUAAAUGAGAUGAAAGCAGUCAAACAUCAUUUCCAAGAUUGCAAGAUUGAUUUCUGUGAGUGUCCUCUUUGUCUGCUUCCAUCAAAUGACCCCAAUUUGUUGACUUUGUCAGAUCUGGUCUCUCAGAAGCCAGUAAACAAUAGGGUUUCCAUAUGUUUUUAUGGUAUUAUACUGCCAAAGACCCAGGGGUUUUGAUUUACCACCAGUGAGUUCAGAUGACUGCUUUCAGCCUAAAGGGGGGCAGGGCCACAGUGUAAGAGCAAAGUACCCGGAUUGAUUUAAAGAAAAUUAAAUUCUUUUGAUUAGCUAGCACAUCAAGUCUGUUAAAGGGAUAUUCCAGGGUAAAAUUAAUUUAGGGUCAAACACAUCGUAACGCCGAGUUAGACAGCCCGUCGAGAGAUGAAUGUUGCUGACCGCUUGCUUCUCUAGUUAUACUAACUUUAGUAACGACCCAUGAUAGCGACACACAGGGGUCUCAGGAGCCACAUACGAACCUAAACCAAAACGCCACUCUAUAGCCACAAAUAAUGCUCAGAACAGCAGCUAACUUCAACAACAGUACAUAUAGGGUCCCAGCCACAGCACUAGCAAUCAAACAUCUUUUUAACUUUGCCUGAUUUCCUUAGCAAAAAGACUCAACACAACCCACCUACUCUCAUCCAGCAGCCAUUUGUUUGUUUAACAGCGCAAGGAAGAACAUUUACGAUCAUUUCUUCAUGGAAAUGCAAUCAGACCGAGACGCUAAGACAAAAGAACUACCGCGUCUGCAGAGCAAAAUGAUCAAUAUGGUGAUUAUUACUUCAAGGAAAUGAUAGUGAUGAUCAUAAAUAUUCUUCCAUGAGCUGUGCCCCCCCGCCUCAGUCGACGAUGGACUGGUCAUGGUCUCGCCACAAUCAAGCGGCUGCUGGAAAAGAGUAGGUGAGUUGUGUUAAGUCUCUUUGAAGAUCUGCAGUUUCUUUUUGAUGAGAAACAUCUCCAACAACUCUGAGGGUUAAAAAAUCUUCGAUCUCUUGCAGAGUUGAGGACUGCAAUCAGUUGAUGAAAAAUCAUGUUUCAGUUGAUCUCCAUUGUUUUGUGAUUGGUUAUUUGCUUGUUUUCAUGGACUUGUAAGCCUGCCAGCAUUGGGAAUCUGGGAAAGCUCAAUGUCUGUUCAAAAAUGAAUGAUUUUAGUUUUUGGCUAACUGUGUUGGCACAAACCAAUUAAAGAGGAAUGUCUGUCAAUAUUUCUCAAACGCUCUCUGAUAGGUGUUUACAUGAGUGAUGUGGUUUUGGCGAGGACGAGGAUAUUUCAUCCUCACAGCUUUCCCGUCUCUAACCUAUUACCUGUUGUAGUUUUCCAUCAACAUGAAGGGAAGCAUCUUUAAUAGAGUGGCCUUAACACAUCCCUGCUGAUAGAGAGUAUACAGGAAAUAGAACCAACGUCUGAAUGUCUGCAAUCCAGCUCGAACUUGAGCUCUGAUUUCCUCCGUGUGAUCUGCUGUCAGCGGUCACCGAGCGGCAUUGUGAGCGAGUGAAUGGGUGGACGGGUGCCGGUGGUCGCAGGUAGAUAGAGGACGGAGUCAAGCCAGAUAGGGAGGAAGGAAAGGCUGGAUGGAUACGUGGGGGAGAUACCGAGAAGGAAGGAGGUGGUGGUGGAAAGACAGAUAGUGUCACGUCUACUAUUCAGGCCCGUUUGAUGAGAUGCCUCAAACGGCUGAAAAGAGGAAAAGACGGGGAGAGUUAAAGAGUGAAAGACCCUUUUCAUCAUGGUGACUCGUGCAGCAGAACCUUCCCGUCACCCUCCCCAUCAUCCUUCCCUUCUUGUUGCUCUACCCUUCCCCCCCUGCACGGAUAGAUAAAACACAUUCAAUCAGAGGGAAACGUGUGAAGAGGGGAUAAAUAAAGGAGAGGAUUUCAAUCACACUGGCGUUCUUCUCUCUUCAAAGACAGGGAUCAGAUGGGGGGUUGGUGGGAAAAGUGUGCCACUGGGUUGAUGAACACCAGGGCUCUCAAGCCAUAGGAAGUACUUUUAAAGCUUAAAACUAUGAUAUAUGUAUUACAAAAAAAACAUGAUGAAAAAAGGGGACACGAGAGAGGGGAUUUUAAAUUUACAGAAUUUAAAGUUUUGCACCAAGAGGCGAAGAAAAUAUAAACUCAGAGACCAUGUGGAUAACCGCCACACAAGAGGAAGGGACCAGGCAGGGGGUGAUUGUCCCCACCCUGGUGCUUUCAUGAGCUUGAAUGGAUUCUGCUGUGCAUCCACCUUGAGAUUACAAAUUGAUCUUCAGAUGUGGAUCUGGCAUACAGGAGAAACCCCUUCAAGAUUUUUGGCCCCUGCUCCUCCAACAGCCUGAGUACGGCACUGCCUCACACUUUUAAGACUCAGGAUUUCCAGCCGAACUGUACCUAUCCAGAGCGUAAAACCAGCGAAGGUUGGCAGCAGGGGUAAUAGCCUGUUGUGGUUUUGAUUGCAGCGCAGCGUAUGUGUUAGCGCUGUGGUUAGCAGUCAGAUUGAAUGCUUUAGCAGCCUGUUAUUCACUCAGCAAGUUGGCCCAUGCGUAGGCAGCAGUUGCGGUUUGGAAGGAAACUCUGUGGUCAUACGGAAAGGGGAGGACACGCUGAUUUGAGUGGCAGUGAUGAUGAGUUUUCAUGAAGUACAAGCAAACUGUGGCCUGUUUUAUGUCCUUUUUUAUGACAUUUGGAUGUGUUAGUGUGUGUGUUAGUGUUUAUGGGCAAAAGCCAGUACAGAAUAGCGCCAGGUAAACACGGUAAAGGCAAAUUUGAAUGGAUCUGAAUCUCUGCGGCUCAGUAUCUAUCAAUCAAAACAUGAGCGCAUGCACAAAACAUGAAUGCACACUAAGGCUCUCAGUCUGAAUAAAUACAUAAUGAACAGGCUGCUAUACACUGCCAUGCCAGUGAAGUUGAAGGGUUUAUGCACACCAAGAAACACACAGUUUUAUUGAGCAGAGACACAAUAAGAAAUUGCAUAUUAAGCUGCAGCUUGAAAUACUGCCACAGCAGAGCGCAGAGCUGCUUUUACCACCCUGUAAUAAUGAUUUCAUAAACUUUUACAAUAAAAUGCUUUCUUUAACAACCCAAUAAGUGAUUUGGCCUUGACGCUUUGUGGGGAAGGAACUCAGGGAGCUUCUACCUAAAUUAUUUCGCAAUUUUCUUCUUUUUCUGUCCAUUGUUUCUCAAAAUGCAAGAGGCAGAGAAAUGUAGAGACUCUGUUAGUCAGAACAAAUGUCUUCACCAAGCUGUAUUUUAACUGCUUUGUUAGGAGUGUUUUUGGUUUUAUUUCAGUACACUCAAAGUCAUUGGUUAGUGGCAAUGCACAGUGUUGGGCACCUUACUGAAAAUAAGUACCAUCAAUCCUCAAAUAAAGAGUGGUAUUUUAUCUGUAGCCAGAGCCCUUACAAUUACCAGGACAUGGGCUUUAUGAGGGACUAAGGGCCAAUCCCAAUUGUCACUCUUUACCUUUCCCUUUCAUCUUACCCCUUUGUCUACCUCUUGUUUUGAGGGCCAAGGUAAAGAGGUGAAAACGCCCUAAGAAAUGAGACACCACUCAAUUCCUGCUAUGUCAUCAUGCUUUGUUAUUUGCUGGCUGUGUCGUAGGCUGCUGACACAAUACCGGUAAACAAGUCAGAAAACAGCGCCUACUGUUGUAAUGUUUAGCCAUUGUUGGCAAUAGCACUUAAAAACAAUGCAUAACAUGGUAUUUUACUCAUACAAGAGCAAACUUAGACGCUCUUGAUGUAGCUUCUACAUUAGAGGUUAUUAAUGUACUGAAUGUAGCUUAGCUGUCUGAUCAGUUUGUCAAUCAUUCAUGAAAUGUAGUACAUCGCAGUAAAGUCCGUCUGCAGUAAAUUUGUCACCCGAGUAAUCUUAAUAGCGAGGUGAUUGGUAACUUUUCAUUACAGCUGCAGGCUUUCAUGCGACUUACUUAAUAGUUUAUCUGGCGGGUCAUUACUUUCUUGCAACUAGUUAUUUUGUGUAACUUGGUAACACGGUACUCAAAACACUUGUGAUGGACAAUGAUUUAUUUUACUCUAUCAAAGAAGUUCUUUUGCUUUUUGAGAUUGAGGUCUGUUGAUUCAGGAUUGUUGUUAAAUUACCAACAUUAGAGUAGCGCUGUCGACUCCACCACCUGUGCAGUAGCAUUGUACGCAUUCGACGGGAGAAUCGCCAAGAGUCAGCGUACCUGCAUCAAACAGUCUUAUUAGGUGCCCAGAGCAUCUUCACUGGGACUCAUGACGAUGAUAACCACACCCUCCUUGCCAUCUUACGGAGGAAUCCAAUCCAUGACCAGACUUUCUUUUCACCUUAAAGUUCCAAAGGAAACCCGCAAACUCCAGUCUGCUAUCCUGUCCCUGAUUGAAAAACAGGUCUCACAAACUUUCUCUGUUUUUGAGCUUUCAAUCCAAGAGUUCUGCUAUCUUUAAAACCGGUUCCAUAACUUGCUGACCGGUCCAGAUGGAUGCUGCUCAGCGAAUUUCACACUCAGAUUUCUGCUCUCUUUAAGAAUGGCGCCCUGAACCAGAAAAAAAAGAAAAAAAUGGCAACACUAUUUCACAUUUUGGACAAAGCACAAAUCGAUGUGUACAGCAUGUAGAACAUUCAAAGCCCAGGAUGUUCCAAAUUUUGCGCUAUCCCACAGAAAUAUAGAAUCGCCAGAAUAGAUGCAGCCAUCCGGGCGCUCGGGGAGGCUAGCGGAGGUGGAAGUUUGAUGUUUAAAAAAAGGUGGGAACAGAAAACUAGCGGGGAGUGGAGUUGAGAGGAAAGAAAAGGUGGUAAAAGCUCCGCGGCUGAGAGAAAGAAAACGCUGGCAAUCUGCGAGAAAGAAAGAUAGGGUUAGGAGAUAUGUUUAAAAGGGUGCGUGGAAGAUGGAUAAGGGGAGGAGUGGAAUGAGAGAGAGGGCGAGAGAUAAUGAGAGGGAGAAGGAGAGAGCGAGGGGAAUGAGGAGAUAGAGACGAUUUCCUAUUCCGUCAGACGCACUGUGGCUCAUUCAUUAUAUUCCCCAGGCAAUUACCCAGGCCACCUGCUUUGUCUCUCCCCUCAUUGUUUCCAUCUCUCUCUGUCUGUAUCUUUCUCUCCGUCUUUCGCUCGAUCUCUGUCUGUCAUUCUCUCUAUCGCUCCUUCACCACUCCUGUGUGAUCCUUGCUGGUUUGCCAAUCCCCCCACCACCACAGCCACCUCCACCACCACCCUGCUCGCCUCAUUUUUCGGUUUCUCUCCUUGCAUUGUCUCUAUCCUCUUGCCGUUUUUUUAUGUGUGUGUCUGCUUGUUUAAUGUGAAAACACUGACAGAUUGGUGUGUGUGUGUGUGUGUGUGUGUGUGUGUGCGUGUGCGUGUGUGUGUGUGUGUGAUGUUGGGCCAGUCCUAAUGAGCUCAGCCUUGCAUUUAGCAGGGUGCCAGGUCUCGGCUAGCUGCUGCUUUUACUCGUCUCAAAUGCUCAAAUUUGCAAGAAGACUCCAUGGAUUUAACCUCAGACCUGCAAAUUUCAACCACAUUUUAUGUUUUUUUUCUUCUUGUUUUUUUUGUCUUCUUUCCAAAACAAAAAAAAAAUCCCUCAAAAAUGCCGUCAGUGUGAGAAAAAUGCUUUCUCUCCCAUUGUCUCAAAGCUGUAUCAUCUCCAUCUCCUCAAGGUUUCAGUCUUAAACUUUGUGAAUUCUUCUUUAUUUUUCUCUCUCUUGAUCAAAGAUGGAAGGUUUGCAUGUUUGCAUCAGUACAUUGACAACAAUCCUCCAUCAGCAUCAUCAUUUAGUCCACUUAAGUCACUGCUGUAAUUUAACUCUCAACUUCAUCCUCUGCAAAUUACUCCAAAUCACGACCACUUUCUUUCUUCUCAUGCCAGAGUUGCGUUUUUGUAAUCAACUAAAUGAGAGUUUAUUUUUAACAAAUGUGUAAAGCGUUCACUUUCAAAGUCUGUCAUGUUUUUCUUCUGUUUCCGUUCCUGGUAAUUAAAGCUUAAUUAGGCGCAGUAACUGUGUUACAGAUUUGGAAACAUAAUAAUGUUGCCUAGAACGCCAUUGGUAAAGCUGCUGUGUAAAGGCUGAACCGCUUUGGAUCCCUCUGCCACCCCUGUCUAAAAAUAUGUAAAUAAUGGGUCGAGUUAGUCUUUUUUUUCUAAUUCCUAACACAUUUAAUUAACCUAUUUGCAAAAUCGGAAAUAAUUAAACACAACUAAAACAGGGAAAAAUACAUAUUAAAAUUUGUUUUUUGACCACGGUUCAGAGCUUGUUAAGGCCUUUGAACUCUUUACCAGAACAGCUCAUCACUCUCUGGACUGGAGAAAUAAUAAGAAUAACUAAAUGAAUGCUUUUCAAACCAGUCAAAGGAUGUUAUUCUUGGACGGGACUAUGAUAACAUGAUGAUGUACACAGUGUGUUGACAACUACAAAGCAGAGAUGUAAAUAGGAAAACAAUACAGCUACAGUAAGGUAUGGACUUGUAUUAAUAAGGGCAUGACAGCAGUUCAAAUCCAUAUCAGAAUAAGACCACAGCACAGUGUGAACGAUGAGGUCCUUUACAUGAUAUUUUCUCUACACUCUACACUUACAUGACAGGUCAAAAAAUAAGUGACAGGAUGUGACAAAACAAGAUACAACAUGUUACGGCACAGCAUGAUACAGUAUGGUCCGAUAUCCUAUAAAUAGAUGAAAUAGGAUAGGAUGAUAUGAGACAGAAAUGAUAUGUGACAAUGUGGUACGAUGCAAAACCAAAUGUUACAAGACAAUAUGAUAUAAUAGUUUACGAUAUGAUUUGUUACAAAACAAUAUAAAAUAUGAUAGUAACUGUAUGUUAUGAUAUGUUACUAUAAGAUUCAUUAUUAUACAGUAAGUUAUGAUGCAAUACAAACACUAAGUUGCGUAACGUUACGCUAUCUUACGUUACGCAACGUUACAUCACGAUACGAUGCAAAGGAAUUUAAUAUGAUCAAUACAAUAUGAUAAGAUACAGUAGGGUGUGAAACAUUAUAUGAUUCACCAUAUGAUAUUCUUCAAUAUAAUACAAUAAUAUUGGAAAUUAUACAUAGUACAGCAAGAAAGGAUAAGAUUAGAUAUAAGAGGAUUUUGUGUAAUAUUUUAUACAAUCUGAAACAAUCCAAUACAAUAUAACAUGAUGUGUGAUAUGAUACAAACUAAUGCGAUACAUCACAGUACAACAAAAUACAAUAAGAAACCAAUAGUUAUGAUGGGAUAAAGUAUAAGUAGAUAUAGAUAUGCUUUGAUUAGAUAUGUCAUGAUACAAUACCUCACCACACAAUACGAAACAAUACAAUAUGAUAUGAUUCAAUACAAUAUGAUAUAAUACGAUUCAAUACAAUACGAAACGAUACGAUAUCAUGCAGUACGAUAUGAUACAAUAUAAUACAAUAUGAUAUAAUACGAUACAAUAUGAAACAAUACGAUAUGAUACGGUAUCGUGAUACGAUACAACAGGAAACCCAAAUUCACAAAUCUGGUUUAUAAUCUAUGAUGCACAUUUUUUUUUUUUUACUUAUUCACUUUAUUUGCAGAUAUUGGUUCGAUUAAUUCAACUUAGGCUUCUUACCCUCUGGACAAAUUGAGAUAUCUUCCACGCUUCAUUCCAGCUCAUCCUGCAGGGUUCAUGCCGUUGCUGUGGUUUUGGGUGUGAUGAAGGGGGCUGUCACAAAAAAGGUCAGAUGUCAAGUCCCAGCUGCCCGCAGCCCAGCAGGGGUCCACGGCUGGAACGGGUGGGUUUGGCGAUGGGACAGCCGAGGUGUCAUUAGGACACAGUGGGCUCUAACAUUAGACCUCAUUACUGCUCUCUGAUGGAUCGGCCCAAAUUACAUCCUGGCAAACGGACGCAUCUGCCGGCGAGGACAAUAACAACUGGAGAUCUUUCUCUCUGCUUCCAUUCACCCUUACACUGCCUCUUUGCACUGUGUGUUGUUCAAAAUGAAGCCAUUUAAAGUCAUUAUAGAGUAAAUAAUGUGUUGACAAAAUGGGCUUGAAUAAUUGUGGCUCCUUUACCAGGCAAACAUUAUUAAAAUGAAGACUAUCGUUUUCAAUUCUCAGUUUUUAACACAGCAACAUCUCUCAUGCGUUUCCCUCACUCCCCUUUGUACAGUAUAGGAUGAAUGUCUUUUAUCUGUUUUACAGUAGGAAGAUACACUGCUGACAUUAAACAUGCUACAUGCAGGAGCUCUUCAUGAAUAUUUCACUGUGAAAUUAGGUGUGAUGCCUCAUUCUAAUGCUAGCUUAUAAAUAAAUGCAUUUAAGCCAUUGAAACCAGUGAGCGACAAUUGGUUUCCCACGACGAUUUUCUCUAUUUCUAUUUAACUUUAGAGGUUCAUUGUCCUGUAAAACCCUCCGGAUACAGGAAUCCAGGUUACUAAACGAUGCUACAGCAACACCCAGCAUGUUCCUGUCAUAGAUCCCUUCUUUUAGACCCUCUAAUUAAACCCAAUCAAUUUCAUUAUACUCUAAAUAAAGAAAGCUCUACACUACCUAUAAACGCCACAAAUGCUGGUUUCUUCCCUUUUUUUUUCCCUCUCACAAUUUGAUCCGUUCAUCCGUAAAUACACAUUUUAACACUUACAAGCACGCCUGCGGCAAGCUGCAAACGCCCACACACAGCCCAGAUUUCAUAGAUGGGCAGGAAUAAUUCAUUCUUCACAUGUUCAAUUGGACUCUGGCUGAAUGUGUAUAUUGUUCAUGGCGUGUGUGUUUGCAAAGCCUCACUGUGCUCCAUAUCAGGGACAUAAUGGAUCCUUCCCAUUCCCCAGCAGUGACCUCUGCCUUUCCAUGUUAUCCUACAGUGUGCUGCCUAUUGUUUUGACCCCCAGCAAAUGGUGGACUUAGAGGGAUCAGGCCCUACAUCACAGGCUUGGCAGGGAUGUGGGAGGUGCUGGUAGUAGUAGUAGGGCUUAAAAACACAAUCUAAGGGUUAGGCUAUUGCCUGGUAAAAGACUGAACAUGGUCUUUUUAUCUGAUACAAAAAAACAACAACCAACCCGACCCUUUAUCUGUGUCAUUAUCAACCUUUAUUGACAGACUCUGCUGUACUAUGCAUUAUGGCGAAUCACAUAACAAAUCACUGGCCUAAAAUGCUGAUCACAUGGUAUGUCUAACCUUUGGCAAAGCCUCCUACCUCCCCUGCCAGAGCAAUCGCACCAAUGAGCAGCUACUGCCAUAAUGCUGUAAUACUUUUCUACCUGAGUGUAAACAGAUGAUACCUGGCACUUUACCUGGUGAAGUUUUGCCAUGUUUUCAUAUAGAAAAUAAAGACAAAUAUUCAGACUGAUUAUAGUUAACUCUUCCUACAUCGUUACCUCAUGGAUAAACAUACUUGAACAUGCAAUUAUCAAUGCAUGCUAAAUAUAUGUUCAAUACAAAUGCAUGGUUUAUGCUUUUCUUUGAAGUCAAUUCGGAAACACUGUACUUGACGUCUAUGUCUAUAUCACAUUAUGAAUAUAUUUAUAAUGCGAUAUAGAAUCACAUUAUAACACUGUAUAACUAUAGUUAUAAACACUCAAAAAUGAUUAUUGCUAUAAAGCAUUAUAAUCAUAACAUAUUAUAAAGCAUUUUAGCGUGUUAUGCUUAUUGUUAUAAAGCCUAAUGAUAAUUAAUGAGUGUUUAUGAUGAUCGUUAUACAAGUUUAUAAGCAAAUUAUAACACAUCAUAAAUAUAUGUAUAAUGUAUUAUCUAUGCGGGCAUUGUCAGUGAGUUGUUAAAAGUUAUAACACAUUAUAAUACCUGACCUUGUAAGUCAUGAUAAAAUGCUUUAUAAUGAGUUAUGAUUACUGCUAUAAAGCAUUAUGAUCAUUCAUGAGUGUUUUAACGUGAUAAUAACACAUUAUACAUAUAUUUAUAAUGCGUUAUAGAGGUAGGCGUCAAGUAAAGUUUUACCGUAAAAUCUAUUUUUGUGUAUUUCCUUUUAAUUUGUAUUCUUGUAUGACUUUAUGUCAGCAGUGGCUGUAAGAACAGCAGCACCUAUUUGUCUCUUUUAAAUCCCAGUGGUAGCAUGUAUGACGACAAGAAGCUUACCGCUGUUUCAGCCCCAUCAUAGAAAGUUCCUCCUUUCCCGAAAGCCUUUAUUCUGAGAAGAAAAUGAAGUGAAAACAACAUGUUACCUGCCUCCCUCUGCCCUCGUUUGUAGACAAAUCCCCCACUGCUUGUAACAAAAGAACCGCUCCCCCAGCGUGCUCAUGAUGGACACUCUAUUUUGAAGCUAAUAAAUUGUUUUCCCACCCCCGGUCCCCCCAGUGGUGGUCGCUGCUGCUGCUGCCACCACUCUCUGUCUUUCCGCUCGGCAGCGCUGGACUCGCUCCACGAACAGUCAUGCAUGUGACUGAAACCAGACAUGCUGGCUGUCCUCCAUGUGUAGUGGUUUGUUGUAUACGUCUUCAGCCCAGUGGGGAGUUACAGUGAAGUUUCUGUUUUUUCUUUAAUGAUCACUGAGGGAACAUACUUCGACCACCAUACAGGAAAUAACAAGAGUGCAACACAAAUGCAUUCACAUGGUAACACACUACAGUUAAUUUUGAACCACCUUUGAGGAACAGCUUUAUUCUCAAAAAACAACUUGAUACUCGUAAAAUGGCGACUUUAUUCUCAUGACAUAACUUCAUUCUCAUAAUAUUGCAACGUCACUCUUGUGACAGUGCAAUUUUAUUCUUCUAAAACUGUGACUUAUUGUUGGAAAACAAUGCUUUUCUCUGUUACAUCAGGACUUUAUUCUGAUUAAAUAAUAACCAUGUUUUAGUUACACCGCAACUUUAUUCUGGUGAAAUUGAGACUUCUACUCGCAGCAUUACACCUUUUUCCUUUUGACCUUAAGACUAAUUUUUUUUCUUUCUUCAUGUAGACCUACCACUUCGCCAUCAUUUCGAAAGCAAAACAUGACAAGAUAUUUUUGUUUUUAUUUUUAUUCAAGCAACAUUUCGCUGUUGCAAUUCACAUGCACCUGCAGAACUGACAGUACAGGGAUACAUCCAUCUUGAAGUGUACUUCCACUUGCUACAAAUUUCAAGAGAGGACGCUUUUCUCCAGGAACAAUCAUGCACAAAAAUUACAAGUCGACCUAUUUAGUUCAAUUGUUACAAAAUGCCUAAAAAGCCAUGUUGUCUUUUUUCUUUUUCUCAGUGUAGGUCUAUUAAAUAGUACAAGGUGACAUCACUGCAGGGCCUCAAAUGUUUGUAACCAUCCCAGCCCUCAUUGGUUGGAAAUGUACAGAAAAAGCCACGGGCUCUGGGUUACAGCUGUAGAUAUGGACCACCAGAGGGCCCAGGCUUUAAUCCAUCAAGGCCACCGAAUGACCGCAGGCUGAUUGGAACAAUGAGUGUAACACUGUUUCACAAACCCAGUUUAAUGGGCCACGUUGGUGAAAAUGUGUUAUUUUAUAUAAGCAGACACUGUUUUUUUAUGGGCAGAAUGUUAAACCAGAUCUUAAAGUCCUCCUUUGCCGGGCGGUGGAUAGAGGUGGGACGUUCACCAAAAUAAAACGAAAUAAAAAGAUAUGCACCCUGCUCCUCCUUCCACACUUAACACCCCACACCCCCAGCCUGACUCUCACCGACUGCACCACACAUGCCAUGGGAACCUGUUACCAUGGUUACAGCUGGCAACAGCUUCGCUAGGGCCCUGGCAACCCACCACCACCACCACUGCCGUCAGUUCUCUCAGUUUCCCUCCUUCGCUUCAUCUUUUCUCUUCCCUCCCUUCCCUCUGAAGCCCCUCCCCUUCCCCCUCACCCCCUAACCCCCUCCGCCGGUUUCCCUCGGCUCCCCCUCAGCCCCUCUGAGGUGUUUCACUGUGGUGUAGAUUUCAGGAGCUGUUUUCCCCUCAGUCUCAUUGGACUCAUUAGUGUCCUUUACCGAGGCUCCGUCUGUGCUGAGCGUGCAGCAGAGCGCACAUGCAGGCCUGUGUGUCUUCCUGAGAGUGUGUGUGUGUGUGUGUGUGUGUGUGAAUGGUUUUGGAAACCGUAAGUGUGUAUGGGGGUGCAGGCCGGUGCACGCUGCUGUGUUUUUGUGCAUUCCUCACGCAGGGGCCCGAGCAGCCCCAUAAUUAUGGGAGCUCGAAGCUGAUGCUGCCUGUUUGAUUACAGUGAUCAAGGGCCAUGUUAUGGAGCCUCAAAGUGCCAUCACCUCGUGUCAGCAUGUGUGUGUGUAUGUGUGUUCAGGAGAAGCUAAAGAGCUUUGUUAGGGAUUUACAUUUACAGGAACAAGAAUAACCCACUUAUCUGUCAAUAAAAAGAGGUGUGGAAAUGUUCCUGUUCCUAUUUCGUUAAGUAGCGGUGUUAGCAUCCUUUCCUAGCGCCUCCAGGUGAAGGUCUUAGUGAGUGGAUGUGUGCAUGUGCAGAGCCUUGUGUGGCUGCAUGCGCUUUCUUGUGAGCUGUACAGUGUAGGAAAACAGAGCAAAGUUAAAUAUUUAUAUCAGAAGUUCACAUUAAGAGGAGCAAAGUAAACCAGUGGGAACUGAGACCCCUCUCCGUGUGAAUUAUGAGCAUGUUAGUGCUGCCUCGGCUAACUUUUAGGUUUGAUUAAACUCAGUGUAACUCAUCACCUUUGGCUAAGCUAGUCACUGUGAGUUUCUGAUUUAUACACCAGGCUCAGGAAGGUGUCCUAGUGCAAUGAGAGACAAGCAGAGUCUGUUUAGCGUUAGUUAUCUGUAAGGGUAGACAUUGAUUGGCAGUCAUUUAUAAAUGAUGGUGCAUAAUGUAGUACAUCCUCUCCGAUGGCAGAGGCUGGUUCAAUAAAACAUGAGGCCUCCAGCCAGGAGAUGAAAUAUUAAAAGGAGGCAGUGAGGAUAUAGGAGCUGCAUCUCCCCAGAGGUCGGUUGUGGAUGUGUGUGUCUGUGGGCAUUUGUAAGACACUUGUCCUGACUUAAACCACAACUGUUAUCAGAUGUCAGGACAGCCGGCCAGAGCUCUGUACUACCAGAGAAGUGCAUUAGACUGAAAGCUGGUUCGAUGAAAACCUGUAUUCACAGCUGGAGAGAACAGGUAUCAUAUCGGUGAUCAUUCAUUUUCUCCAUUCACUCCGACCAGCUUCAGGUUAUGUCCAUUUUCUGAGAAACAACAUUUGGUAAUUCUUUCAAACAAAACAGUUAAACCAUGUAAUUGUCUUAAAAGGCCUUAAAAUCGAAGACUGAAUGAUGCAUAGACAUAGACUCGAUGACGUUACCCAUUUCUGAAGUAAAGUUUUGAAGCCUUUUCUUGGCAGUCACCGUGACUCAACCUAACCUUGGGUCAAUCAACUUUAAGACAGAGAGGCAAAGUUAAGGCUGGCCUUCAGCCUCUUUGCCAAUAUUUACAGAGUCAAGCAUCCUUGCCUCUAUUUUGCCAAUAUCAUAACCUUGAUAUGUUCAAAACAAAGUGCCGCCCUCUUUGGGAAAGCCCUGAGAUAUUCAGACCAAAACAUUUUUUGGAGCAGGUUUAAACAUGUUUAAUUUGCUCUAAAAACUGAAAAACUGACUUUUUAAAGAUUAUUGUGUGCUGGCGCUUCUGCAGCCUCCAGUGGACACUUGAAGAACUGCAGUUUUUAGCACUUUUGCAUUGGCAUCAUUUUUCAAGGCUGGUGGUCGCCACUUGGUUCCUAUCCACUGUAACCACCUGCACACCGUACAUACUUAAAACAAAACAUAUAAAAAGUUGAUAUAAAACACUGAUGUAAUCGUAGUCUUAAUAAUCUGAUCUACACUUUGAUAAAUUCAGACGAUAUUACAAUGGUGGCUGUUCAAACUGCAUCACAUGAUCCAGGAAUGUUGGCUAACCCAAACCUCAACGUGUUUUUCAGCUAUUCUAAUUAGCUGAAGGGGAUUUUGACCAACCAGAAUCAAGUAUACACAAGUGGGUAAUAAUUCUAGUUAAGUAUGGUCUGUAUAAAUAGUAAAAGCUGAGUGUAAUUUGUAAUCCAUGCUUGUACCAAUACUUAAGUGUUGGUUCCCAUUAGAAGAUACUCAAAGUCUGUAGGGCUGUAACUGCUCAGCUUUUAUCAGUGAUCUGAGAAUCUAUAUUUCUCAUAAAAAGGAUCAUUGGAAGAAUGAGUGAAGCAGUAUGUCUUUACAGCUGACUUGAGUCCAAAAACCCCCCCUGGAGCGAGAACUGGUGCAGUAUAAGUUACCAUGGCAGUAUUCCUGCUGAAAGAGAGCCAGCUUUGAGACACUGAUCACUCUGACUUGAGGCUCAACAUCCCUCACUGACUGAUCAAUCUUACUAUUUCUUCUCCCCUUAGGAACGGGGAAAGAAAAGUUAGUGAGUGGUUAAGCAAGCUGGAAUGUAUGCUGAUGCACUGUGCGCAAAAAGUGGGGGGGGAAGGCGUAUAAGGCCUGACGCUGAAAAUGUUACUGAUGCAGACACUAAAUAUGAAUGAGUAUCUGGUUGAGAUGAUGCGUCUUUUUCUUCGCUAUCUUGUCAGGGAUGCCUCCUAAAUGGCUGCAGAUAGCACAAACCUGAGACAUAUCAGAGCUUUAUCAAAUCGCUCUCCAUUUCUUUUAUUGCUGCAACAACAAAUUCAGAUCCCAAAGAAGAAAAAGCGAAAUGCAAAACGAGGGAACUCAUUUGCAGACGGUCGUGUGGUGUUGCCCGCUGGGUUUGGUGAAUGGCGAGAGAAGGGUGGAGAAUGGUCGACGUUGUUCAGGGAGCUUCUCCGCAUUCCUCUGCUUGUCAGAUGCGAUACCUCUCUGCCUCUAAUAGGGGCACAGGAGAGGACAGGCAGCAUCUGCUGUCAAAACCAAAUUAUCUUCUGUCAACAAAGCAAGAGUGAGAACAGGAGCCUCAGCCAGGCCCGUGCUUGCAAAUGCACAUGCACACAAAGACAUGUAUUUUAAAGUUCCAGCAUUAUGGGUCACUUUGAGGAAGGCCUGUCAGGACUUUUGUGCUCCAAUGACUGCUAAAACACAAACAUGUUAAGGUCAAAUGUGAUAUGAAACACCUAUACAACAGACACAUCAGCGCAGUAAUCUAUUUGGCUGUUUCAUAGGGUAUAUAAGUACACAUACAACAUAUGCACUCACACUUUGUCAUCCCCCUCAUGCCAUUCAGUUUGUUUUCACAGAUCCGUUGUUCGUGUCUCUCCGUAAGUGCAUGUGUCACUUCAUUCGUGGGCUGCAUCUAUUUUUCAUGGAGGUAAAUUGCAUGGCGCAGUUGUGCGCUGAACUCUGGCUCUGUAAUCCACAGAGAUGACCUCUAAUAACGCAGCUCUGCACCCUGCCAACACAUCAACAGCUCUGAACCUCAACACCAACACUGCCUCAAUCAUUCCACAUAUCUCCAGACUUUUACUCUAAAUGCUGUUUGCUUUUGCCUUUCCUAUUGGUUUUAUAUGGUUUCUUCUUGUGUUUUCCAUCUUUUUCCUUUUUGGUUUAUUUUUUUUUCCUCUUUUCAUUUUCUUUUUUCAUUUGUCAAGCUUCCUUUUCCCUCCUUCCCUCUCCCGUUCUUUGAUUUUCAUUACCUCCUCUUCCCCCGUUUUUGCCUUUCCAAAACCUUUUCUUUUUUUGCUUUUCUGCACUUUGCCCUUUCAUUUCCAACCACCUCCUUUUUAUUUUGUUUUUCCUCAUCCAGUUUUUGGCUUUGCUCUGUAUAUGUUCACUGCUUUCUUUCCAUUUCCCCUCUGUUACCCAAGAACUACAAAAAUCAUCUUAAAUCCACCCACUGAUCUCAACAGGAUGUCCAGAAAUUAGAGUUAAAUGUCUUAUUUGAGCUGUUUACAUGGUGCGUAAUUGAUCAAACUUUGGCUUUCAUCCAGUCCACUCCUCUGAGGGUCAGUGUCAUCUCAUUGACAAUUCAAGUCUAUCAAAGAAUUCCCUGUUAGUACGUAACAGCAAGUUAUUGUUACUUCUUCAAACAGUGUAUUAUUUAUUUCAUAUUUUGUAUGCAUGAACAAGGUCCAUCCCUGAACACAUCUAUGUGCCGUUUUUUCAACUUAUAGCGCCACCCUACGUAAAUAUAUGCACUAACUGUAAUACAUCAUGUCCAAUCUGGUCCGAAUUUCACAGGUUUGAUGAUGCUUCCAGCCUAAAUUUAUCUACAUUUUUGUCAUAUAAUACUGCCACUGACUGGGUGAAAGUGGUGUCAACUUCCAUAUGCACUCCUGAAUAAGCCUUUAACCUUUGGGCUUUUAUCAAUGCAGAACCAUAAAGAUUCUUAUAUAAACAUAUGAACUGACAUGUAUACUCAAAGUCUUGAUCUACAUUUACUUUUGGGUCAUGGUGAGAACAUUAGCUAAGGGGACACUGUCUUGCAUUACAGGUUUUCUACACCUGGUGGUUGCAAUAAAGUGAGGGGGCCCACUUGUGACCCUGAUUUCGUUUCGGGUUCUCAUUCUUCUCUGUGUCCUUUGAGUAUGUUUUUCAUCAUUUCAGCACUUAUUUUUCCCUGUCAUCCAUUGUUUCUCUUCCCCUUUCUUCAUUUCCACGCAUAUCAUGUCCUCCUUUUGUAUUAUACACCAUCCAUGCCUGUCUUGCAUCCUUUGGCUCUGUUUUCACUCACUAUCUGAACAUCCAGCAUUGUGUUGUAUUAUGUGUUACAGUAUCUACAGUAUAUGUGUGACAGGUAUUGUGGAUUGACAGCUUCUCAGGUAAGGUUUACAUCUCUUUGAUCUGUAGGAUACUGGGCCUGAAGACAAUAAACCAACUCUGAGAUAGCCUGAGGCUCGAUACGUCACCUCAUACUCUUUACACUGUAGAGAAGAAUACAGUGUGUCCUCAGGCGUAGCUUCCUGCUAGAGUGACUGCGCAUGAUUUGAGCUUUUUGGCAUAUGUAUUUUUUUUUUUCUUUUGAUACUUUUUAUUCUGCUUCUACGGAUUUUAUUUUUAUUCUUUUUUUUUUUAAAUAGCUAAUAUUUACCUGUCUUCCCAUUUCCAAGUAUAAGCUUUGUUUUCUUGAAUAAUCCCUUAAAGAUGGAUAAUACAGCUCCUCAAGAGCCAUAUUGAUACUAGCCUUUGUCUGCCGGUAGUGCUGUAAGAAGUCAAGCUAGAUUUAUACAAAGGUGCAAAAGCUGAGUCAACCAAAUAUUCACCUUCUCCGUGUGAAACCAUUUUUUUGUUUCCUCCACCAUUCAACAUUUCUUGCUCUGAGACAUGAGUCAGAACUCCUACCUCAGCAAAGUCAUUAUCCUGUCUUUUAAAUCAAAGGUCUUUUGUGCUUAUUAUUUGUUUUUUUACAAAGGAGCCCAAAUCCAGAUCUCGCCCUCAUCCUGAUACCAACUUGCAUUUCAAUUGCUGCAAUUAACACCAUUGUCAACAUUUAAGCUUAAAGGAAUCUUGUUGUUUCCUGUUUCAAUACAAAAAUCUGCACAAUUGAAACUCGAUAAGCUAAGGUCAUGCUCGCACCAAAAGGUCAGUUUUCGUGUACGAACCAAAGCGAGGAUGAUUCAUUGAUGAUACAUUGUUGCAAUUUCUCAACUGAUGCGGUUCGUGUUUGAAAAGGCUAAACUCAAAUGGUCCAAAAAUUUUCAUGUGGCAUCAAAAGCGGGUUGGGUGAUUGCUUAUACAGUUUAGGCGGGUAGACGACAAAUCCCUUGCAAUUUUUACUGUACCUCAUGGAGCAGUGUCUGCUCAUUUUUAUGUUGGUGCUGAUCUGGACUGCAUAUCAGCAGACUUUAACAGACCUUUCAUAUGAACGGCUGGGACAAUCUGCAAACAGACGGUCCUAUCACAGAAGACGACAGGCAAUAAUGAGAUCCAAUGUUUUUUCUAAGUGCGCUUCCUGAGAUUGGCUCUAGAGUUCACUUGAUAGCAGUCCAACACCACCCCAAACAGGUGGACCUGUGAGCGGAUGACUGGCUGCACCGGAGUUCGAGGCCAGUGUUUCCACCAACCAAAGCAAACCGCACCAAGGAGGUAAAUGCUGUAGGGUUUAGUUCAACUGGACUAAGCAAGGCUGGUUUGAUGCAACCUAAGAAGAACAAUUCUCAGCAAACAAAUGGGCACCAUGAUGAAGAGGCUAAAGACUUGAUUGGUCCAUGAGGAAAGAGUUGGGAAGGGACCAAAUCUUGAUCACUGUAUAGUGAGAUCUGUUGUCCUUUCCAGAAGUGCAUCAUUUCAGUGGGUAACCAAGGCUCACUAAUGUGGUGAGAGCAAGCCAAGUCUAACAGGUUAGCCACAAACCGCUGAAAGUUAACCGUAGCUCUGAUAGGAAACAUUAGAAACCAUGGCGCAUUACAGUUUUUGGAUACAGGAUUGUUCAGCUGCAGAGCGAUCAUGAUGUGAGCAUCAGUACUGGACCAUGAAGCAAUGGAAGAAGGUGGCCCUAGAUUCCCCAGAUCCCUGUCCAAUCAAACAAUUCAGGGAUGUGCAAGUCCAAUUACUGAGGCCCCGUCUCAAAUCCUGCAGGUCUUAAAGGAUCUGCUGCAAGAUGUUUCAGAAGUCUAGUAGAGUCCCUGUCUUUUAGUUCCAACCCUAACAAGACCUUAACAAAGAUGUUUUUAAGGAUCUAUACCUCGGUAGCUGAAAAGUUUGUAGAUACACAUUGUUUUAUUUAAUCUGACGGCAGUUAUACAUAUGUUUUUCAUAACUAAGUAUAUAUGGAUUGGUGUAGGAGUGACACAUAUGCUGUUUUCACUUUCUUUUAAUAGCUGGACUGCUCAUCAUGAAUAACAGAGACAGAAACUCAGAGGAUGAAAGCCGAUCACAUAUGCUCGACAGUCUGUGUGUCAAUAACACACACACACACACUCCUACAGUCAGUGACACCUCAGAGAAGAACAAACAGCAGAGAAUGUCGUGAUCCUGUCAACACUUAUAAUUCUGUCAAACUUCUCAUGUGGUUGAAAUAAGUAUUUUUUUUCUCCUUUUUCUGUCCUUUGGUUUGAGUAGAAGAAAUAAGAAUCCUGGGUUUGCAGGUCUUAAAACCUUCAAUAAAGCUGUGGUUUACUGGGCUGCAUUUUGCAACCUUGGGUUUCAUCACAUAAAGCCAUAUCCUCUUAGUUAUUAAAUAGUAGCAUGAGCACUUAUCUUUAAUGCAUCUCAAACAACCCUUAAGGAUGAGGGGUUUGAGGCAAUGACCAUGAACCAGCACUUCCCCUAUUUGAGUCUGGCCAGGACCUUUGCAUGUCUCUCCCAUCUCUUUGUCUCUUUUCUCAUUUCCUGCUACUGUCAUCUAAUAAUCAAGGAAAAACAUGGCCACAGUUACCUUAAGGAAAAAAAAAAAAAACCUUGCUCUUAGGGUGCCCAUUGUUGCAGGGCUGCUCCCCAUUCAAUCUUUUAUUUACUGUGAAUGAUGCAGUUAUUUAUGAGCAGUUCUAUUGCACUUAAGUAUAAGGGGUUUGUUUAUAUUUCCGUGCAGCGUCCUUGCUUGCUGCAGAACAAAUUACUACCUUUAGCCUGUAUGACUGGCAAGAGUAGCUUGUUGAAUUUCCAAAAAAGGCAAAGCUUCCUGUAGGUCAGUGAAAAUAGAGCUCAAUUGCCAGCUUUCAAACUUUACAAACCAGACAAAUGGACUGAACUUCAUUCUAACUGAACCAAACAGGUUAGGUGUGAAAUGAUGGAGACGUAACACAGAGAGCUGCUUCACAUGACUGUCAAAUGUUGAGGAGAGAUUAAAAAUAACUUUUAGGUAUUAAACUUAGGAACAUCCUGCAGCAGAGAGGGUCCAAGUGUUUCAUGUAACUUAAGUUAUUUACCUUUUUUGAACAAAAAUAACUAGUAUUUUUCUUUUAUCAGCAAAUAUUUUAAACAAUUCUCAAAGGUCCAGAUUCAAAUUGCUUUGAGGGAGCCCAAAAGCCAAGACAGUGCCAAGACAGCUCAGUUAACAUGACAAAUGAAGCUUUAAAUCAUAUGCAUUGAAAUUAUAUGUCUUAUUUAAACACGAUACAGUCUUCCCUAGAGAAAGCAGAUACAGGGAAAGUAGUAUAAAGGCUCCAGGACUGCGCCCUGUGGUACACCACAUGUUGAAGGAGACGAGUCAAUCACCAACCGAGACCACAGAAAGCAGAUACAGGGAAAAUACUAAGAGCCCCAGAACUGAGCCCUGUGGCACACCACAUGUUAAAAGAUUUAUACACAAAAUCACCAGCUUAGACCACAGGAAACAAAAAAAGAGAAAAGAACAAGGAUCCCAGGACUGAGCCUUUUGGUACUGUACAUGUUACAGGAGACAAGUCAUUUUGUCUCUAAGGAAUGAAGAGAACCAGUCCAGACCUCUAUCCCCAUCCAAUCCUGUAGUUGAUUCAUAAGGACAUGAUGGUCUUCAGUGUUAAAAACAGAGCCAAGGUCUAGAAGGACCGACACAGAAAAGUCUCCAACAAAGAGAAAUCAACAGAAAGAUUGGAGAGGCCACUUUGCCUGCAGGAGGCACCAAAAUCAACACAAACCAAAACGUUUUGCACAAGAGCAGUUUAGUAAAAAAAAAAAAAAAGGUUUUAAGUAUAACCUAAUUAAAAAUUGUUCCAGAGAAAAAUUGACUCAUUAAAAAAACUCACAGCCCAGCAGAGAAGUGUUUUUUUCUAGGGUGUGCAUCUGGGACUGAGUGUCAGCUAAAUGUAUAUAAUUAAGAAAUAAAUAUUCAAAAGUGCACAAUAUCAUGAGAGACAGAAAUGCUGCAAAUCAGCACCAGAGAAGAUAAAUAAGUGCCUGGGAGAAGGGGGCAGUCAGAUCUCUGCUCUGUGCAACAGAUAAUCAGGAUUGGGAAUGAGGAUCUUUAAUGGCUGUCAAUUAAAAACUAAUUAGAGGGUGUAAGCUCAGCUAGAUCAGCUAUCAGUCCAUUCAUCAUCACACAGCUGUCUCUGAUCCUCACACACACACACACACACAUACACAGUCAUACAGACAUUAUCAUAUAGACAUUGUAUUCAGAUUCUUUUUUCAAUUAUCUCUGUUUCUGCCCCUCCGAUGUUUGUGUACAUGUACAACAGAGCUCGUACACACCUGCGCACUUCAGCACACACUCACUCCAACAAAGACAGUAAAUACAUAUGGAGCUCAUUCAGCAGCAAACCAGCUGUAAUAGACACAUUCCCUCCUCCAUCUCUUUCAUUUACCAGAGCAGAAUUGCCUCUGAAUUGAUGGCAAAUAGUUGAAUUUGACCCAAAUGUGUUUCUAUAAAUGGCUGCAAACAGAGACAAAUGAAAACACAUGACCUGAUGGAAUUGCUGAAAUUCAAAUUCAGCGAAUGACUCCUGCCAUGACAACCAAUUAGUGACAAAUGGAUGUAUAUAUCUCCGGGGGCAUCAAUCUAACUUCAAAGCAGCGCGUUCAGCAGAAGCACAGGUGCAUGAAGCUCUGGUGACUCUGCAUUUCAGGCCUUGUUUAACAUAUUCAGACUUUUAUUGGACAGAAACCUCUCAUUUCCUCUGAAGUGCACAGGGGUUCAACAAGAAAUGUAACACCAUCAGUGUUUACAGGAAAAAGGGACCAAAACAAAGAGGAUUCGUGUAUUGUUUUUGUUCUUUACUGUCAUUUUUACCAGCCUAAUUCCAAAGAAACGGUGUGUAAAGUGUGACUGGAAACAGAAAUUAUGGUUUAAAAGUCAUUCAAACCUUUUUAAAUCUUUGACUGAAAACAGAGUGGAGACAAAUGUUGGGGAACCGAGGAGACACUUUUGGGAGUUUUGAAGGUGAAUCAUGGUCCCUGUCCUUACCUGGUAUAAGAUUUCAGCUGUUCAACAGUUUCAGAGUCUCCUUUUUUGUGAUUUUCAUUUAAUGAUGCACCAAUAUUUUCUUAAGUGACAACUCUGAACUACCAGGACUCUUCUACUGCAGAGCCAUGUAAUUAUAAUAUACAGAAUGUGGUCUCACUAAAAUAGACACAGUUUCUCCUGAAAAAGUCGUUGUCUGGAUGCAUCCUAACACCAUCAGGGAUGCUGGCUUUGAACGUGUGCUGACAAACAAGCGGGGUGGCCCCUCCCCUCUUGAGGGUGCUGGACAGGGCAUCUGUGUUGUCCAAAAAGAAAGUCAAAUUUGGAUUUCCUUGACCACAGGACUGUUUUCCCUCAAUAUAUUUUUGACAACCUUGGGCCCAGAGUAGCUGCCAGUAUUACGCAGUCAUUUUGUCAACUGUGUUCACUGAGAAUAGAUUUUAGAUGUGAUUUGGACCUCAUGCGGCAAUUUCCACAACAGAGCUAAGUCUGUUUUAGACACUUUUCAGAAUUGGCUUUUGGACUCUUUCCUUCUGUACACAGGUUUUUCUUGAUUUUUCCAUUUUUACAACCAUAGUGUAGAUGAUGAAAUCCCCCUAUCUUUGCUAUUCACAGUAAGGAUCAUUAUUGAAAAUGUUGAACCAUUUGCUCACGCAGUCUCUUACAGAGGGAUGAACCUUCAUUAUCUUGUUUUGCCACACUUAGUCAUGUUGCUAACCUGUUGUACUUCACCUUGUUAGUUGGGGGAUGCUCCUCCAGGAUAUUUUUCGAAAUUGUAUUUUUUUUCUGUUUUCUGUUUAAACUUUUCUGUAACAUGUUGCUGGCUUCAAAUCUAAAACGAGCACAUUUACUUCAUCAAAGGAUACACUUUCUAAUUUUCAACCUUUUUAUUUGUCCUCUUUGCACUGUUUUUUCUGGGUGGAAGGUGGAUAUCUGCUUAACAGCAACAGUUUUAGAGCUGCAAACAAGGUUAAAUGGCUGAUAAAGCAUUAGUCUUGUACUUAAUGCCAUCAGUUUUAAGUUAGACACCGGGUUGGUAUAAAGGUGCAUCAAUACUCUGAUCUGUAAAGAAGGCAACUUGUAGCAGUGCUCCCCUAAAGCAGCACCCCAAUCAGCUGGGUCAAGGCGAAGUGUUUGACUUUACACAGCAUCUACUGCUUUGUGAUCUGAAAAUUGCUUUUGCCCCCAAGUAGUCACAGGUGAAGCUUUUAUCACAGCCACAACCCAACCAGACGCAUGUUUUUCAGAAAACCUGUAGUUAAGUUAGAGGGAUUUUUCAGACUUCUCUUCAGCUGAAUUGAAGGUGUUUCAUUAAAUCUGGAUCCACUCUCUCAAAUCUGCUAAUUGAGUGCAAUUCUCUUUGUAUCCCUCUCGAAAUUUGUGAAGUAUUUAUCAAAAAAAAAAAAGAGGAAGAAGCGAUAUUGACCAUGGGAUUGCAAAGGCUUUCAACAAAUUUCUCUAACCCUAAAUCCAAUUUGGAAGGCAUACACCACAUUUGCUGUUUGGCUUGAAUUUCUCCCUUUUCGGACAAAAAGCAGAGAGAGGAGGAUUUGAUCCAGUCAGAGAUGUUAGUUUGAGUAUUGGUGCUCUUUCAAAUCGGAUUUUCAUACAUGAUUCUCCAGAAUAGCAGAAUCUGGCUCCAGUUUUCCUGACCUGUGAAAUUCUGAAACACUAAAAUAAGAAAGGACGGUCUCAUUCUGGACGCUCUGUUUGACUGUGAAGCACUGGUAGUAUUCUCUGUGAGAUUUUAUUUCGUUCAGAUCCCUCUCAAACACAGACAUUCACUGUUUGUUAUUUGUUUCAAACUGCCAGACAAAUAUCACAUGCAUCUCGACCAUGCCAGUGAACAAUUUCUGAUAAAGACUGAAGAAAACAUGCUGUUCCCUUUUGAAAAUUUUAAAAGGAUAUUUAGUCCAUUAAUCGUUUACUUAUUUACUGAGCUGCUCUGCCACCAUGAAAGGAUCGUUCUGAAGAAAUCAAUUUACAAGAAUAGAUAUUUGUCCUUUAGAAGAAGUGCUGCAAUUAAAAAAAAACAGCAACCAAAAGUGUUAAAUGUUAUCCAAAAAAAUAGGAAUUUGGUUUUGUACUAAGGUGUCAUUAAAAAGAAAAAUUUCGGUCUGAUUUUUCCUUUAAAGGACACCUGCCAAAGAUAUUCCAGCGAAAAACCACUCUCUGAAACUACUCGCCAUCGCUCUGCUCAGACAAAUUUGACCCAAUUCUCCAAAAUACUACAAAUUACACCCAACUCUAAGACUUUGAACUACAUUUGACAGCACACUGUUCUGGCGCUUAGUACAGAGGAACCUGAUGUAGGCUACUCUUCUGUGCCGUUCCAACUGGAAAUGAUGCAACUUUGUGUUGAAGGAAGCCAACUGAGCUGCAAAAUUGGGACACUGCUGCCAAUUUGGAAUUUGAAAACUUCACAAAGAGUGAACAGAAAAUGCUGUUCCAAGGAUUUCAUCGCUUGUUUUUGUCAUUUGAGAUGUUGCUAGAUUCAGCACCACUGCCCAUCAGUUAUUUCCUUCCACUUUUUCUUUUUUUUUUUUUUUUUGCAGUGAGUUUCCAGAACAUAAUUGCACAGGCUUGUACCUCGGUGAAGGAUCAGUAAGGAUUUGGUCUCGCUCACUCCUUGUCGAAGCAUGUUUCCAAGCACCGUGUCUGCUCUCCUGGUUUCCCAUUUGUUUUAAUAGAACGGGCCUCCACAAUCCAAGUCCAGUUAAAGGUUUAAUCCAACACAUAUUUAGGAUCGGCAGAUUACAUUAAAAAUGACAAAGGCAAUUUGAUCUUGCUCAAGUUGUCUAUGAUCCAUCUUACCAUAUCAGAGCAGGGUUUGGAUCCUUCUUCUUUGUCAGGUUAAUAUAAAGUGACUAGACGUCUCCGAUUUCUGGUGAUAGUCCCCAUUUUGGAUGACUUGUCCCCAGCUAAAGCUGUCCCAGGAAAUGUCCCUGAUUUAAGCAUUUUCUGAAUGAUAGACCAGCAUUUUCUUUGCUGGUAGAAAAGAAGACCUUAGAGCAAAUACUGAUGCCAAGGCUAUUAAAAAUCACAUCAAUUCAUUAAAAUAAAACUCAGUCAGAGUGAAGUGACGAUUGCAGCCUGAUAUUGCUGGCAGUGCUCCUCUAGGUUGUAACUUGCCAUUUUAUCCCAUCAACCCCUAACUAACACCAGUACAGUGUCAGUAGAUGAUGUGAAUGCCUGGUUCAAAAACACACUGGUUCUUGACUUCCUGGGGCCAUUGCAAUCGUUACAGGCAAGAAAAACUGAGCUGUGAAAGAAAAGAAACUGAUAAAAUUGAACAAGCUCACUCAGGUCUGGAUGAUCCAGAUCUGGUCCACACGCCACCAUUUGGUGAGUUCAAGACAAAGCCACUUGUAAAUAUGGACUGUGAAAUUGAAUACUAAGCAUUUACCUUUGAAAUUAUCUGAAUUGACACACUGCUUUUGUGUGAGAUUGAUUUGUUUGAGGCUUUUUGUCUGACCGUCUCAUUUAACAUAAAAGGGGUAACUGUUUGAAUCUUUUCUUCCCUAUAAACUCCUCAUUUUCAGUGAUCCCUCUCUUUGUCAUCCUCCUUGUCAACAUGUGUCACUUUGGGUGUGUGCACCCCUGUGUUUGUGUGUGCGUUUGUACGUGUGUGGUGUCUAGACAGGAGAAGCCUAAUCUAUUUUCCAUGUUCCCAUCCGGUCCUGUUGCAGCCUUUGAAUGGCAGAUAAACAGAGCGGGCUGAGGCUGAGGCUUCAUCAAGAGGAUUAAUUCUGUGAGUCUUAUCUCUAGAGGAGCCUCUCUGCCUUCUCUUUCUCUUUCCCUUUUCCCCACAGGCUUUGAGGGCUCUCACCGUACACAACAGAGUUCACCCCCAGUUCACACUCUCUACUGUACAAACCGCUGCUGCGCUCCCGAAAUCAGACAACGCACCUCUGGAUCUGUCCUGCGAUUGUGCAAAUUGACCCCGUAUGUAGAUGAGCUCCUACCAGCGACGCCAACAUACUUUCCAAGUUUUUUCUUUUUCUGACAGAGUGGAUUAGUGUCUGACAGAAUAUGAGCAGACAUCAAAAUGCAAACAAAAUCAUUAAGAAGCGCUGGAAAAUGGAGCAAAUGUGAUGAAAUAAGACAAAAAUCAAAUACAAGCACCAAAAUAUGAUUUAUCUGUUCAUGCCAGGACUCUGUGGCGUUGUCACAGUGUGUCUAAAAGCACGGCAUUUGAAUAUUAAAGGAAGUUGGCGAUGAAAUUGAGCAUUAUUAUUUAAUUUGAAAGCACCAAACCCCAAAUUAGUACAAUAAAAUGGGAACAACAUGGAAACUUGUCAUUUUUUUGUUGAAUCCAAUAAAUCAGUUGGCUUUUGGACACUUGUGUAAAUUUAGGUAAAUUUAUGCAAUAAUUAUAUUUCCAUUAGCACAAAUUGAAAACAGGUUAAGUCCAACAUUCACCCAUUUGCCUGUCAAACAAACACAAGUACACACUGCAUUCAUAAAAAUGGACACCAGCUGAGAGUGAUAAAGGAAGUUUUGAAUGACCGUGUUUUUGAUGAUUAAGCAGGUGGUAGUUGAGCUUUGCUGAUGUGUGUAAUCAAACUCAAGUGCAGACUUGGAGUGAAAAAGCAAAGAUAACUGUGAUUUUCAUAAAGUCACCACACGUGAGAAGAGCUAUCUGCUGAAGUUGCUUGUUCUUUUCUUGACUCUUGCUGUUGCAGCCUUUUCUUAUUCUUUGAAUGCUUUCAUACUCAAGAAUGCUCUGUAAUUUGUACUCAACACAUGUCACUGAAAGCCAGUUUGUUGCCAGUUUUCAUGCAAAGAGAAAGUGUUCAAGCCAUUCACUUUGUUGAAGGUCAAGCGACAAAGAAGAAAGACAGAGGAAGACCAAUUGAGAUGGCGGUGAGUAAGCAGAACAAUGAAGGACUUUGAGAAGACCCAAAAAUCUUAAUAAUAAUCAUUCUUUAUUUUCAAGUUUGACCAUGGUGAAAGAAAACAGACGUGAAAUCAAAGACAAAAGCAGGCGCCACAAGGGAUGUUGAAGCUUGGAUACAAUAUAUGACAUGGAUUUUUGGCCCACAGAAAUAGAAAUGCUGAUAAUUGGUCUAGCCAACUUGUAAUCUUGGUGCAAACUGGCGAAGAGAUUUGUUAGUUAUUCGGUCAGUCAAUGUCACUGCACACAUCUCCUCUAGUUUGGUGUUUUACCUCUGGUCAUAUUUUCUUCCAUUUAUAAUCAGUAAAAGAGAGUUAAACGCCUUACCUUUAAAAAGCAGGAUUCUAGGAUGGUCUAGAUGUAGUCACCUAAGUUCUGGGUUGAAUCUAUUUUUCAUUCUUAAGGUUAGGUUCUGUUUGCUGACAACUCUUGAGAGGUGCUAUCAGAACCAACAUGGAAUAGCCUUAGCAUGACUAAAGAGAGAAGGACAUUAUAGCUAGCAUGACUUAGGAAUCAAUGUCAUCAACCCACCGACUACAAAAGCCACGAGAAAUCUUCUUUGCAGCACAACCAAAUCAGCUUUGACAUGAGGUUCGGCUGAAAUGUGCUAAAAGCUUCUGCUGGUGAGUUUGUGUUAAUAUCUGCGAGUUUUAUGGGCUUUUGUUCUUCAUUAAAUAGUCUGCUAUCAUUCUGCAGAAAAUAUGUAUGCAUGUGUGUCCAGUAGCCAUGAGGCAGCAGCUGACGAUAAUCUCUCGGAGGGGUCGAUGUCGUGGUUGUCACGGCGAUCUUCCCGGGGCUGAUGUUGGCUGACGGCUGAUGUCACCAUUGUUUUCCAUCACUGGCCCUCUCUGAUGGCUUUCAUUUCAUUCUGUGUGUGUGUGUGUGUGUGUGUGUGUGUGUGUGUGUGUGUGUGUGUGUGUGUGUGUGUGUGUGUCUACAUGUAUCAGAGUGGUUUCCAAUUGGUGUAUUACUUUGUUUGUGUGAAUGGGAGGCACUAAUUUAAAAAGAAAACUACCCACAGGGACCAGUUUUUCCUAUUAUCAGUGACAUUUACCUGUAUUUCAAUAACAAAUUACGCAACUUUCUGCAUGUGAAUGAUACUUUUGUUUCCUUUUCUCCCAUCUCAAAAAACAGACCUCAACAGGUGGAAGAGGGGGGGCCCUUCAUUUCGUGCUCUUUUCUUUACACAUGAACAUUUUUGUCAUUCAGUCUCCAUAUACAGCUAGUGACGCAAACAUAAAAGUCACCAUGUAAUUGUUGCUCAGUCUAGGGCACUUUUGUAAGUGAUAGCAGGAUCGAACUAUUAACCUUCAGAUUGACAGAUGACCCACUUUACCAUGGAGCCAGAGCCACCAUGUUCACUAGAUUGUUUAUUUCCUAUUAAAAUCCAAAAUAAGUAGAAUAUCAAGAACAAGGGCCUGUUUUAAGCAAAAGAAAAAUACAGCAUCCCACUUUCUCACACCAGAGGUGUUUGGUCCACUUUUAACAAAACCUUGUCUGUUUCUUUAGAUGGUCCAGCAUGUUUGGAGUGGUGUGAAAACUCAUUCGAACCCUGUUGAGGACUGAACAAGUGAACUCUUGCCUGUUGAAAAACGGUGGUUAUAUGUUAUAAAUAAGUUGGCAAUAGAGAGUAGAUUUCCAUUUUCUUUUCUGGCCAGUUGAUGAGCCGUUUUUUUUUUGUCUUCAUUUGAAUCUAAUGUCAGUUUGAUAUCAGCGAGGACCACUUUAGUCAAAGAAAAUUAUUCAUUUGCAUGCAACAAGUUGACUCUGCCUUUCCACAUGAAAUACCAAAGCUUUGAGACAGGGAGAGCACAUCUCCCCUCUGUUAGAUAAGCACACACUGAAGUUUUGGACUCUUACCCUUAUUGUUUCCUUAUAUCUAGAUCCUGCUUGCAUUGUGAUUGCUCUCAAAUGUUUUGACUAAAGAGUCUGCUAAAGGAAUCAAAAGGUCAAGGUAGGGAGAGCAGCAGCAAAGCUUGACUUCGAGGUCUACCUGUACGAAGAGUAUAAUCAUUUUUAUUCAGUGUCAGUAAAUCGUGAAUGUUAACUCAACACAAUACAAUGAACACAACUGUGUGUAUAUGUAUUAAGGUUUUUUAUUGUCUUGUCUAACCUUUUAGCUUUUGUCUCGCAGGAUCUUCAGAAAUAGUGUAUUUGAUAACACUCCAAGAAAUGAUUUCUCAUUUCUGUAGCAGAGUUUAAAGAGUUAAACUUGUCAGAGCCAGAGCUGCAUCGUUAAAAAAUAUGACUUAUCUUUCUUUUUUUAACCAUUCACCUGAAAGCACACUCAGUACAGACUCAGUGCACUCUGCCAGUCAACAUCAGCAGCAGAGUUCACGUGCCAGCUGACAAUCUCAGGGCUCUUAUGUGGCUCCUUUGGUUGUAAAAUAGCAGCUUGUCCAGCCUGAACAAUGAAUGAAUGAAUAACAAACAAGUUCACGGGUGCAAUUUAUUUCCUAUGAUGAGUUUUCUGAUUAAAUUAGUCAAGUUUGUUUCGCUCUCAGCAGGUUCAUCUGCUUGCGUGCUUGAGUGUGUGUGUGAAUCUGCCUGCGUGUGUGUUCUUUCCCGCCUGCCGAUUCCACUUGCCUGCAGAUGGCAAUGUGUUACAUUUCUAUAACAGUCGCUCUCUCUUUCUGUCAGGUCCAAGUGUUGCUGCUGCUCCUUCCUGCAGCUCAGGCUGGUGUGCAGCUUCCCUUCUUGAACGAAUGCAUUCUUUGCAUUUCAAUGUUGUAACUUCAUUUAAGGCCUUUUGAAGCGCCGCACUCGAGACAGAAUGGAACUGAAAUCGAAACAAUAUCUGCAGCUUGUAAUAUAUUGUAAAAGGCGCCUUGUUAAGAGUGAUGUGCCAUAAUGUGAGAGGAAAAAAAGUCAAUAAACAUCACUGUCAUCCUCCACUGCCGCCUCUCUCCCGCCAUCUCUCUCUCCCCCGUCUUAAUUCAUCCUGAGUUUCAUCUCCAAGCUGAAAAUUUGAGUGUAAUUUCCAAGCGAUGAGUGUUAUACAGGUUGUCAGCGUUUGCAAUGAUCUGACGUCUCUCAGCCGAGCGUAUGCAAUGCCGCAUGGAGAGGAAGAUAGAGAGGAGAAAGAGCUGAUGGAGGGAGACAGACAGAGACCAUAUGGAGUUUCAUAGUUUUAGAUUUCUCCUGCAAAUGCUUUCCUCAAACUGACUCAUGUUGUUUUUAUUACUCCUGACAGUAGUAAACAGCUGGUGUGUGGGGCGGAGAGUCUGGAUUUCUGUCUGCUGUGGGUUUCCGAGAGUGUGUGUGUCUGUCUUUACAUACGAGAGCUUUUAUUUGUGGGAUUUUUGUGUGUGUGUGUGUGUGUGUGUGUGUGUGUGUGUGUGUGUGUAAAAUCUGAAUGCAUUCCAUCACUCUGUUUACAGGCCCGUGCAGCGUGAGAAGUGUGUGUUAGAGGCGAUGCUACACUCUCAGCAGCCAUGUCCAAUUGAAAUAGAUUGGAGCCAUGGAGGCAGGGUAAUUCUGGGUGUGUAUGCAGGCCCGCUGUAAUCUUCGUACUCCACCACGCCUCGUCUGGUUUCUUUCUCUUACUUUAUUUUACACAUAAUGGGAUCGAUAGCUUUGUGAGCUCCUGCAGAAAACACAAUCACACAAUGAAAGAAUGAGCCUUAGCCUUCAGCUAGUUUUUCUUUAUGACUUAGUUGUAUCUGUGCAGCUUUUGUCCUCUCUUGAACCUGUGACUGAUUUCACGAAAUCUCAUCUCCAAUCUUUUUGUGCGGGCAGAAACAGCAUUAUUAGCAUAUGAAUCACACUUAAAAAUCUGGUCGCAAUUUCAACAAAAAGAAAUUUGUUGAAUGAAAAAAAACAGGAAUAAUUCAGAGGUUCUUACAUUUACACAAGAGGGGAAAAAAUGAAGCCGCAGAAAAGUCAUGUAGUUCCUGGAUUUAUCCUCCAUCUAUUAUCUGUUCUUUCAAGGAUAUCUUGCAUCAUGCCUUGAUUCUCUUAUUCCCCGUCUCCAUCCUGCCGGAUCCUCAAGUGACCCGGCAAUUGAUUUGCUCUAUCAUUACCAAGGAUGUGUUAAGUUCCCAUCAUUUGACGAGAGGGAGCAAAGAGCUUUCCCAAAGGAGAGCAGAAUGGGGAAAUUGGUUCCCAUUUUAAAGUGGAAAAAAAGGGUCAUUUGCUCCAAUAAUUGGGGUCUCUAACUGCUCGGCUUUCUUUGGGAAGUUAAUGUAAUAUUGCUAAAAUGUAGGUCUAGAUUGAUUGUUUAACAUAAGACUGGGACAAUGUGGACUCCGGUUUUGGUAGUGAAACAGCUGAUCAGCUCUGCCUUGCAGUUUAAAUAAUACUAGAUUCUGUAUCUGUCUGGCCUUUGUGUUUUACCUCACAGUCUAAAAAAUACAUUGUAAGCAUCACCAUAUCCCAGCAGAAAUCAGUCAAUCUUAAAUCCAGAAACACUGGGAUGGUGUGUAGAAUGUCACAAGACCCAGAUUAUGAUAGUUUUCAAAUUAUUUAAUCAUUAUUUUCAAAUUCAAAUUAUGAAAUGUUAAAACUGAAAAAUGUUAUCUGCUGAUUUCAAACCUAAUCCCAGCAGCACAUUUGAAAGAUAACUCUGGACAUCACCCAACAAAUUAGGUUGAUAAAGAGCAGGUUCACCAGUCUGUGAGAGACUGCAUGAGCAAAAAGUCAACCAUUUCAACCACUUCCUCUGUGUGGAGUUGCAGAAAUUUGAAGAGUUCAUAAUCUACAGUACAUAAUAUCAAAAGAGCAGAAAACCUGUAAAAUUGGUGUUCAGGAAGCACUUCUUUUAAAAAGGACAUUGCACUGUAGUGGAAAUCACAGCACUGGCUCAAAACUGCAUCAGUCUGCCAAUAUAUGUAAACAUUAUCUAGAGAUGCCAGUGACUUUUUGGGGCCUUACCCGUUUCAGAUGGGCUAAGGUGAAGUGUAAAACUGUCUUUGUGUUUAAUGGAUCCAAUUAGCAUCCCCCUUUUUUUUAAUUAUUAUUAUUAUUUGUUUUUUGGACAUCAUGGACACUGUGUUCGCUGCACUUAAGUGGAGAGGAACCACCCAGCCUGUUAUUAGCUCAGUGAGCAAUAAUAAGGCCCUAAUUCAAAGUGAGAGCACUGUUCCACAUUUUUUUAAUAAGUUUGCCAUUGGAUAUGCAGAUGUUAUACAGUGGAUAGAGCAGGAAACUGGGAAGACAGAGUGGGAAAUGACUUGUGCCAAAGGGCCCUAGGGUGGGUUUGAUCCAGGACGUCCUGCUUUAAGGACAGCGUUUGUUCAAAGUCUACUGGUUCACUAGAAAACCACUAACUGAACUCAACAUCAUAUCAGAAUAAGUCAAAUGGAAGUGUGUAAAUUAUAUCAAAACAAGAUCAUUUCAAGUGAAGAUUCAAUCAAUCAUGGAGUCAUACGCAUGAUAAAAAACUGCAAGAUUGAUGUUUAAGACAGCAUCAAAGAAAAUCCAGACAUCUAUAUGACAUGAAGAUUCACGCUAUGCUGUACAGUGCGGGGUGUGAGGUGAUGGGAAUGGCAAUGUGGCUGGCCCACAAACACGCACAUCCUGCACUUCCAUUUGUCUGUUUGCUCAGCUAACACUGUCGGCAUUUGAGCUGCGAGUCCUUUCUUUAUGAGUCCUGAGUGAUUUAGCCCUGAGAAGCAGAGUGCUCUCUUAGAGCAGUCAGAGCCACUCAGCACUCAGCGGCAGACAAGAGGAUGGGACGUUCAAGUGUUGCCUCUAAACCACAUACCUCCAAACCUUUCUUGGGUUUUCUUACAAUUCUUCAACCUGGAAGCUUUCUUAUAGACAAUUUAAAACCUUUUAAACCUUCUGUAAGUGUCUAAAAACACGAUGAUGGCAGGGCUUUUAUUUUGGAAGUACAGGCUCCUGUUAGACAAUUUUAAUGCAAGAAAACUAGACCUUUCCCUCAACAUGCCAUUCCAAUCAAGGUAUAGACCCUGAAGUAGUUUCCAGACUUCUUAGACCGUUGAAUGGGUAAAUGCGAAAGUGCACUCCACAGAAUGAAGGGAGGAACAUACAGGCUGAAGUGAGAGAAAACCCCGCCAGAAAAAAAAAAAAAAGUGGAAAUUGUUUGCUCCACUGUUCACAUUUCCAGUGUUAAAAUGUAAAGUGCCUUUUACAUGGCCACUCAUCAGAAGUAUCUCCAUCACACUCAAUAUAUUCUUCCUCAGAUCAUGGCCAAACUUUUGAUCAGACUGAGUCUCCUUGGCAGCAGAUUAUGAGUGCAUGUCGACUCCCAAGUUUAGUUAUUUACUUCCAUUAUCAAAUCAAGCAUAGAUGCUGCUCUAUAAUUAAGUGGUUUCCAUCUUUCAAGCAUUCAAGCUACAGAGAAAAAAAACUCUACAUAAUCACAAUACAUACAAUGUAAGAGCCCUGCGUCUGUGCUCAAAGCCACCUACUGAGUUAGGUGAUUAGAACGGUGUAUGCAUGUUACCUUCAAUAAUAUCCUUUUAUAUAAAUUAAUCAUAAAAAAGUUACAAGCAAUGAGGAAGCUUAGCAUUAGUCAACUGUUUUUUCACUCUUUAUGAGACACUGAACUGAGAUCAGACAGACACAUCAAGCUGAGGGACUCAACAAAACCUCAUUGUCAUUCACUAUCUUGUUGCGCUUGCUAUCCUUACCUCUUUGUUGUCCUUGUCUACCUUGUUGUCCUCGUCCUCUAUUGUUUUUGUUGAGCUCCUUCUCUCUGUUGCCUUUGUCUAUCUUGCCUUCUUCAUCCUUUUUGUUGACCCUGUCCAUUUCUUUGCCCUGACCCUUUUGUUGGCGUUGCCUACCUUGUUGUUCUUGCCUCUAAAGUUUCCAUGUCUACCUUGUGGUCUUUUUCGUCUUUAUAGUCCUUUUUCCACCUACUUCAUGUCUCCAUUGUUUUUCUUGGAUGCUGUAUCUUGUUUUUAUCAGCGUUGCCAGAUGGGAAUAUAUAGAAUUAUUGUACCAGAGACUCUAAAUUAUCAUAUUUUGGAAAAAUUAUCAUAUCGGUUAUAAUCAAAAUAACAAUCUUACUGUUGCAUGAUAGCUACUUUAUAGUCAGUCUGUUUAGUUCUACAGGCACUCACAAUUUUGUGGCUAAAGUUUUGUGGUCAUUCACCGCCCCGCCCCACAUCUCUUCAGCUCCCGUUCAUCACCAUCCUCUUCAGGGGUGUUCACACUUACACUACAAUUGGAUUGAAACAUCAAGUGGAGGUAAAAUUAUUGUACAAAUACUCCAAUUAUCAUACAACUGGCAACCCUGGUUGUCUACCUUGUUGUCCUUAUCCUCUUCGCUAUCUUGGUAUCGGCCUACCUUCUGUUCCUCAUUUUGUCAGUCCUUGUCUACCUUGUUGUCCCUGCCUCUGAAGUUUCUAUGUCUAUGCUGUGAUUUUCGUCGUCUUUAUAGUCCUUGUCCAUUGUUUAUGCCCCUAUUCUUUUUCUUGAGUGCUGUAUCUACCUUGUUGUUCUUGUCCAUUUACUUUCUUGGAACUGGCCUACCUUAUUGUCCUCAUCAUCUGUUUAGUCCUUGUCUACCUUGCUGUCCUUGUGUUACCUGUCCGCCUCAUUGUACCUUGUAGUUCUUGUCUACUUUGCCUUACUUGUCCUAUCACUAAAACCAAAGACCCCUACAGUAGAACUUUUGCUUGUAAAACAUAGACAGAUUAAACAUUAAACAUUAAACAUAGACAGACAGAUUAAGAGAUUCGUGCUAGCUGUCAAGGUUAAAUAAAAACUGACAAACUGGACUUUCCCCUCUUUUUUCAGACUUUUCCGAGGGACAGUUUCACAUUAAUGGUUUGAGAUGGAGACCCAGCUUGUUUGGACAGAAUUACAGCCCCGGAGCAGCGGACAAGUCAAUUCAGCAAGUCAGCUCCUCUACAGCUCUACAGCAGGGCGACAGUAUUUACCCAUCAGCUAAUGGCCUACAGGUCAAGGGUGACACACUCUCACGUCUCCACUGUGCCCUUUCUCUCCGACCUCAUCUCAUGGUCAUUCGCGUAAUGCUAGACGAUCCCACUGGCAUUAACUACGCACACAAAUAUCCCUCUAUCUGUGCACACAUACACACAAAGAGACACUGGAUUGUAUGCAAGCGGGCACAUAGACACGCAAAUGGAGGACACACAUUUUGUUGUAUGAAGCAUACACACACACACACACUCCUUAUACAUCCACACACAGUCAGUGCAUCCUCCUCAUAUAUGCAUGAUAGGGAGAUGAAGCUGAAAGGUCAAUUCCAUUAGACGAUCGCCUUUUAAUGUCACAGUGCCUGGAAAGAGCAACUGCGACCUCCCCGUCUCAGCAUCACAUCACAGUGUAAUCACACGGCAGCAGCCCGUCCCACAGACCCAGGAGAACCUGCUUAUUGGCAUCGGGACAGAGUGAUGAUACGGUGUAUGCUGGACAAAAAUGCUCUUUUCUUAUCCCUAACACUCUAUGGAGGAAAAAAAAAAACGUGUGUAUAUUUUGCGAUUUAUGCUGCAUUGCAACCCUACGAUCAGCACGUGGAGGAUAGUAGCCUCUACACAUGGAGCUACUGCUCUGCUAGCUAAGCUAAACCAGCACCCCAGCAAUAAAUUUUACUUACAACGUUGAAAUGAAAGAGGGGAGUUGCUCCCAGAAUGAAGCCAAAUAUAAUUAUUCAUGCAUGUAAUUGAUUGUUUUGAUGAAAAUGGUCAUGACUGAAAGGUAGGGAUGUUGUUGCCAAUGGUCGCCAACCUCCCACUGUCUCAUCAUUCUUUCUCAUAGCAACGUGUUCAUUUGUCGCUUAUCAUUUGCCAUUUUUUCCGUGUACUCCUGUGGCUCAAGUGUACAUUCAGGUACUUUCAUGAGAUAAAUGAUUGAUUUUUUAGGCCAGAAGCGCUAUUGUCGGGCAUAGUUGGGCCACAGUGGGCACUGGUUCCAGC